rnacentral:lncRNA from 13 species
CUGUGUGUCUGUGAUCUGUUGAUGAGGGUGGCGAAGGACUACUCAAUCAACUGGGGUGUACAAAAUGGAGUUUGAGAAGGUCUCACAUCUAAGUCGUUUUGAAGCAAAGUCCAAGCAUUGUAUCAUUUCCUCUGCAAAUAUUUUAAUAAGUACCCAAAAGUUUAUGUCUGGAGGAAAGAAAUACAAUGCAAGUAUCAAGAGAGUGGAGCAAAGCCUCAAGGACCUAGAUGCCUCCUGGCUUGGGGUUUUUCUACACAAGGCCUCUAUUCUUAAGAUCACAUCAAGGUCCAAGAAGGCUGCUUCAGCUCUGGCCAUCACAUCACUUUUCAGGUGGCAGAAGAAGAAAGAAGAUGAGUCUAUUCUGUUUCUCUAA